AAUCGAACGAAUACAUAAGCAGCUGUUUAUGAGAAAGUAUAUAGGUAUAUAGGUAUUUAUGUACAACAGUGAAUAGCUGUACUUGAAAAAUUUGUGUAUAAAGUGUUUUGAAUAUUAAUGAACAAAGUGCAUUUAUUAUUAAUGAAGAAAGUCACGAAAAAAUAGUGAAAGAAAAUGAAGAAGAAAAGCGUAAAGAGCUAAAAAGAAAAAAACUAAUGCACGUCAAAGGGCAUAUUAUCAGCGUCAGAAAGAUUUGAAGAAAAAUGAAAAAAUAAUAAAAACAGUACCAAAAUCAAAUGCUGAACGUCAAAGGAAAUUUUGUCAACAUAAUGCAGAAAAAUCUUACAUGGAUAUAAAAAGACGAAAAUUGUGCAGUAAUGAAGUUUCAAUGAUAAAUAUUCUUGAAUAACCAACAGCUACUGUAAGAUAAUAAAAC